rnacentral:rRNA from 1 species
GUGUCAGCCGCCGCGGUAAGACAGAGGGUGCAAACGUUGUUCGGAAUUACUGGGCGUAAAGCGCGUGUAGGCUGCUCCGCAAGUCGGAUGUGAAAGCCCUGGGCUCAACCUAGGAAGUGCAUUCGAAACUGCCAGACUGGAGUCCCGGAGAGGAAGGCGGAAUUCUCGGUGUAGAGGUGAAAUUCGUAGAUAUCGAGAGGAACACCUGUGGCGAAGGCGGCCUUCCGGACGGUGACUGACGCUGAGACGCGAAAGCGUGGGGAGCAAACAGGAUUAGAAACCCCGGUAGUCC